GCCAGGUGUGGCAGCACAUGUCUGUAAUCCCAGCUGUUCUAGAGGCUGAGGCGGGAGGAUCACUUGAGCCCAGGAGUUCUGUACUAUAGUUUAUUAUGCCGAUACAUACUUAGUGUUAGAACUUAGUGCCUGCACUAAGUUCAUGAUCAAUUUGGUGACCUCCCAGGAGCAGGGAACCACCAGGUUGCCUAAGGAGGGGUGAACUGGCCCAGACUGGAAAUGAAGCAGAUUAAAAUUCCUGUGCUAUCAAUAGUGGGAUCAUGCCUGUGAAAAGCCACUGCACUCCAGCCUGGGCAACAUAGUGAGACCCCAUAUCUU
ensembl:misc_RNA Metazoa_SRP Metazoan signal recognition particle RNA